rnacentral:rRNA from 1 species
CGCCUUGCCAGCCCGCUCAGAAACUCAAAGGAAUUGACGGGGGCCCGCACAAGCGGUGGAGUAUGUGGUUUAAUUCGAUGCAACGCGAAGAACCUUACCUGGUCUUGACAUCCCGGAGACCCUUAGGAAACUAGGGGUGCUUCCAUCUGGAAGAAUCUGGAGACAGGUGCUGCAUGGCUGUCGUCAGCUCGUGUCGUGAGAUGUUGGGUUAAGUCCCAUAACGAGCGCAACCCCUACCUUUAGUUGCCAUCAGGUUAAGCUGGGGACUCUAAAGGAACUGCCUACGCAAGUAGUGAGGAAGGCGGGGAUGACGUCAAGUCAUCAUGGCCCUUACGGCCUGGGCUACACACGUGCUACAAUGGUCGGUACAAAGGGUUGCCAAGCCGCGAGGUGGAGCUAAUCCCAUAAAACCGAUCGUAGUCCGGAUCGCAGUCUGCAACUCGACUGCGUGAAGUCGGAAUCGCUAGUAAUCGUGAAUCAGAAUGUCACGGUGAAUACGUUCCCGGGCCUU